UAUUUACAGUUUGGAAUCAAGAUGUCUUGGGCUGUAAAUGGUCAGGCCGCUUACAAGGGGAGAUCCAAGGCGGCACCCGCGAGGGUGGUUUCAGGUAUGAAAUCGACAGGUACUAAAUCAGUGAACAGAGGGGCAAACAACGCUAUCACGGUAAAAAAAAGCGGCAGUUACCAGUAACGAGGAAAUAUUAAGAGAUCACGGACAAAAGGGGGGAUUGGCAGCCGCUGCUUGGGUUGUAAGUUUUGUCCAGUCGAAUGUGUUCAGCAACA
rnacentral:sRNA from 20 species